rnacentral:misc_RNA from 1 species
GAUGAAGAACGCAGCGAAAUGCGAUAAGUAAUGUGAAUUGCAGAAUUCAGUGAAUCAUCGAAUCUUUGAACGCACAUUGCGCCCGCCAGUAUUCUGGCGGGCAUGCCUGUUCGAGCGUCGUUACAACCCUCAGGCCCCCGGGCCUGGCGUUGGGGAUCGGCGGAGCCCCCCGUGGGCACACGCCGUCCCCCAAAUGCAGUGGCGGUCCCGCCGCAGCUUCCAUCGCGUAGUAGCUAACACCUCGCGACUGGAGAGCGGCGCGGCCACGCCGUAAAACACCCAACUCUUCUGAAGUUGACCUCGAAUCAGGUAGGAAUACCCGCUGAACUUAAGCAUAUCAAUAAGCGGAGGA